rnacentral:tRNA from 5 species
GGACUCUUAGCUCAGUUGGUAGAGCGUGCCUUUGACGUAGGCAAGGUCGCAAGUUCGAGCCUUGCAGGGUCCACAA